rnacentral:misc_RNA from 1 species
ACAAACUUGGUCAUUUAGAGGAAGUAAAAGUCGUAACAAGGUAACCGUAGGUGAACCUGCGGUUGGAUCAUUAUUGAAAUCCAAAACUCUUAGAGGGGCGGAUAGAUUUCCUAUACGGAGUCUUGAAGUCACUCGACACCCCAAAACCUUUACCGCUUUUCUUUAACAGGAAAAGCGAGUGAACCUUUUUUUUCCUUCUCCUUAUACUGCCCCUUUCCUUGUUUCUCGUAAAGAGCAAACAGUGAAGAAGUUGUUGUGAGGAGUAAGGAAAAAAACCCUAGAUAAACUUUUGUUUUGUUAUUUUUUUCUGUUUUCCUUGAGAAAUCAAAGAAAAAAAACAACUUUUGACAAUGGAUCUCUAGGCUCUCGCAUCGAUGAAGAACGCAGC